rnacentral:ncRNA from 1 species
UAAUUCCAUAAUGAAUUUAAGUUCAGUCUAUUACUAUUAAAAUAUAAAAAUAAAUUUAUUUUAAAAACACUAUUACAUAUUCAAUAUAUUAAAAAUACUUAACUCAUAUAAUAGAUAAAUUAACAGUGCCAGCAGUCGCGGUUAUACUUUAUAUCAUUUGAACUUCAAAUAAUUAAUAUUAAAAUAUUUAUUUAUAUAAAAAUAUAAAGUGAAAUUUUUAUUUUAAAUUUAAAAAUAAAUUUAAUUAACUUAAAUUUUAGACUAAAAAUAGGAUUAGAAACCCUAGUAUACUACAAUCAUCUUAGGAAGUAAUAAUUAUUAAAACCUAAUUAUAAAAUGGCGGCUUUCAUUUCAUUAGAGGAACUUGUUGUAUAAUCGACAACCCCCGAUAAAUUUCACUUUAAAAGAAAAUUUGUAUAUCGCCAUCUAAAGAAAUAUUUUCAAAAAUUUCUCUCAAUAAAUUAUAAAAAGUUAGGUCAAGGUGCAGUCUAUAUUAAAGAAACUAAUGAGUUACAUCAAACCAAAUUUAAGGACAUUAUAAUCUAAAGAUUUUUAGAAAAAGGAUUUAUAAGUAUAAACUUAAUAAUAUUUUAACUUGAAUUUCUUUACGGAAGUGCACAUAUCGCCCGUCACCCUUAUUACAAAAUAAGGCAAGUCGUAACACAGUUGAUAUUUUGGAAAAAGUAUCAAG